GAUAAUGGGAUGGAGGGCAGUGGUCAGGAAAUGGGGCAGCCAGGAGUGCUUGAGAACAGAUGGGGCCAGGCACCAUGGCCCACACUUGUAAUCCCAGCACUUUGGGAGGCCAAGGCAGGCAGAUCACUUGAGCCUCCCCAGGGAUAUGAGGCUCUGGAGUCAGAAGAUGCCACCACCCCAGAGGAUGUGAGCCCACCUGUGGAGGUCUUGAUCCCAACCACUAGGAUGGGGCAGGGUGGAACCCAGAGUUACUGGCCCCUCCAUCCCACGGAGCUGCUUCUGCAACCCUCACUUCCUAAGCACAGAAAUCUGGAACCACUGGUUAAAAAGAAGUCUGAGAGCCAAAAUACACACAGCCAGCUGUGAGUUACUACCUGCCUUACCCAGGAAAAGGACAUGAGCUGCCCAAGCACACACCUCUUUGCCAUCUAUGCCAGCAUUUUUACCUUCAAGGCCGAUGUUCUCAUCGUGUUAAGUACAUUUGAGUUUA